rnacentral:rRNA from 1 species
AAUAGAUACCCGGGUAGUCCUAGCCGUAAACGAUGGACACUAGGUGUUGGUGGUAUCAACCCCGCCAGUGCCGAAGCUAACGCAUUAAGUGUCCCGCCUGGGGAGUACGGCCGCAAGGCUAAAACUCAAAGGAAUUGACGGGGGCCCGCACAAGCAGCGGAGCGUGGGGUUUAAUUCGACGCAACGCGAAGAACCUUACCAGGUCUUGACAUCCCGCUGAUCCCUCUGGAGACAGAGGUUCCCUUCGGGGCAGCGGUGACAGGUGGUGCAUGGUUGUCGUCAGCUCGUGUCGUGAGAUGUUGGGUUAAGUCCCGCAACGAGCGCAACCCUUAUCUUUAGUUGCCAGCAUUCAGUUGGGCACCCUAGAGAGACUGCCGUCGACAAGACGGAGGAAGGCGGGGAUGACGUCAAAUCAUCAUGCCCCUUAUGACCUGGGCUACACACGUGCUACAAUGGCUGGUACAACGGGAUGCUAGCUCGCGAGAGUAUGCCAAUCUCUUAAAACCAGUCUCAGUUCGGAUUGCAGG